GAGAUUCUAAAUUUUGUGCACUGUCUGGCAAUGGAUAUAUACGUAUUUUUUGAAAAGCAUAAGGCAGUGUAAAUUGAAGUGUAGAAUAGUUGCUCAAUUAGUGUUUCUUAAGUCAGAAUUAUGAGCAAUUAGAUAUUGGCAAAAAUAGGUGCUCACCAAACUCCAUUUCUUUCUCUUCUAGGGCACACAGCUGGGGGUACACUGGUGAGAAGUAACCUUUGCCAUCCCCAGACCUGGAGUGCUGCUUGUGAACAGCAUGGAGCUGGAAUUACUUAUUAUCUGAUCUGUGAAUCUGUCUUUAAACUGGACACUUUAAUGGUUGGUUUUCAGCACAUGGAAACAUGGCUUUAAACAGCAGUGCCCAAAUUCAAGACACAUUGAUUGCAAACAAUUCUCAGAGUCAGGCUGCUGCCCCUUGAGACUGUGUGGGACACAGGGAAAGUCCAGAGCAGAAGGAAAAGCUCUUUGCCCACAGCGGUGGAGGUAGUGAGAAAUGGCCAGGUCCUCGAUAUCUUUAAAGAAGCAGUUGCUGGGAAGUAUUGGGUGUCAAAGCCUUAUUGGAGAGGGUUCAAGAGAAAAUGGACAGAGGAACCGUUGGGCCACACCACGAGGAAGCAAUGAGCCAAAUCUAGGACGUGGAACAUUCUACAGGGCAACUGGCCUGGUUUCUUCAAAAGAGAAGGAAGUUCCCACUGACAGAUGGAAACACAAAAGGAAGUUGUGCCAUUCCUCUCUAGACAGCACGCUCCCCUCACUGGACUUCUUUUGGCAUGAGAUCCUCACAACAGACUGGUGACAUAGCUGGCAUUAUCACACCCAUUUUCCAAUGGUGAAGAUGAAGUUCAAAGAUGUAAGUAACUAUCCAGUAUGUUCUGCUCACCAGAGUGUGUGUGUGUGUGUGUGUGUGUGUGUGUGUGUGUGUAUGAAAGUAUGAGAGGGGGAGAGAGAAAGAGAAACUGUCUGCUGCUUGAAGGCUACAUCAUGCUUAAACAGUCUGAACUGGUAUGAAAGUGUAGGGAGUGGGGAUCCUUCCCCAGCAUGGAUCUGCUAAACCAAUUGUUCAUCCAAUCAGAUCCCAGCAACAAACCAGUCCACUCAGCCUUCAAUCCAAUCCAAAUUCACCACCAGUCAUCCCUCAGAGUCCAGAACUAGCCAGUCCAUUCAGUGCUUCCUGCUCAGUCAGUAUCUCAUAACAUCCAUUCUCUAAUUCAAUCAGUGAUCAGCCACAGCCAAGCCCUUCAGCCUCUUAUCUGAUCAGAAUCUAAAAGCAAGCAGUGGACAUAAGUAUCUGUUUUCUCCAAUGUAGUGGCUACUAGAUGAGUCCAGACACAGAAUUUGAACCUUCUGCAUGGAAGGAGAAACAGGCCCAGAGGUGGGAAGGGGUUGUCUAAGGUCACAUAGGAGUCAGGUGCAGAUACGGGACAAGAAUCCAGUUCUGACUCUUGAUGGCAGUUUGUACAGCAGUCUGAACAGUUCUUCAUGGGAUGGUAAUGCUGGAGUGACCCUGGGCCUCAAUCACCAAGUAAGAAAGUUAAAGCUUGGCAUGGGAUCCACCCCUUAUACUCCCAGGAUCAGAGUUGUUUAUACGUGAGCCAGAGACUCUGGGAGCUGCUCUGUCUGUGCAACAUCCCAGGAAGCU